CGGUCGCCGACGAGGAGCGAGCCUCGGUGCACUCGGACAGCGAACGCUCUGAUGGCGGCUCGGAGGCUGCCGCCGCCAGCAAAAGAAAGCAAGGAGCUCAUAGCGACUCAGACUCAGUGGGAAGUGAUCGAGGAAAAAAA